CUUUGAACUCGGUGGGACUAAUGCUAUGCAGAAGCUGAAUUAGACUGUGAACCUAAUCCUCCUCCACUCCCCAGACACUGAGGACAGGACCUAUGAUUUCAUGGGUAGAAAGAUCUCACCUCCACCCCCAUGAGACAACUCCCUCCAAUGACUGCAGACUGAUAUUAGCUCUUCAACAAAACAUCUUAGUUGCAUGGGACAAUAAGAGGGUAAAUAAAUGAGAAGAUGGCAAAGACUCAACCUGAGCUGUUUUGCUGUGAGCUCUGUUGGACUAGAUAGCACAA